AGUUAUGGCCAUACCACACUGAACUUGCCUGAUCUCAUCUGACUUCAGAAGCUAAGAAGGGUCAGGCCUGAUUAGUACUUGAAUGGGAGACSAAAAUCUAUCAAUCAGUCAUUGAACUU
ensembl:rRNA 5S_rRNA 5S ribosomal RNA